UGUCCAAUGCGGGGAUCGAACCCGGGUCGUAGUGGUCGUAAACCAAACGGUUUAACCAGCCUUCCACCGACCCCCUCAUAUUAAGUGAAGAUAUUAAGCCAAUAAGAC